rnacentral:rRNA from 1 species
GAUGAACGCUGGCGGCGUGCCUAAUACAUGCAAGUCGAGCGAACAGACGAGGGGCUUGCUCCUCUGACGUUAGCGGCGGACGGGUGAGUAACACGUGGAUAACCUACCUAUAAGACUGGGAUAACUUCGGGAAACCGGAGCUAAUACCGGAUAAUAUAUUGAACCGCAUGGUUCAAUAGUGAAAGACGGUGUUGCUGGCACUUAUAGAUGGAUCCGCGCCGCAUUAGCUAGUUGGUAAGGUAACGGCUUACAAAGGCGACGAUGCGUAGCCGACCUGAGAGGGUGAUCGGCCACACUGGAACUGAGACACGGUCCAGACUCCUACGGGAGGCAGCAGUAGGGAAUCUUCCGCAAUGGGCGAGAGCCUGACGGAGCAACGCCGCGUGAGUGAUGAAGGUCUUCGGAUCGUAAAACUCUGUUAUUAGGGAAGAACAAAUGUGUAAGUAACUAUGCACGUCUUGACGGUACCUAAUCAGAAAGCCACGGCUAACUACGUG